CCAAUAGCGUAUAUUAAAGUUGUUGCAGUUAAAAAGCUCGUAGUUGAAUUUCGGGAUUGACGUGAUGGUCAUGCCUUAAGGGGUAUGAACUGUUACUGUUGAUUUCUCACCUUCUGGAGAAACUUGAUGUCCUUUAUUGGGUGUCUUGCGGAUCCAGGACCUUUACCUUGAAAAAAUUAGAGUGUUUAAAGCAGGCAUUUUUGCUCGAAUACAUUAGCAUGGAAUAAUAGAAUAGGACGGCAGGGUUCUAUUUUGUUGGUUUCUAGGAUCACCGUAAUGAUUAAUAGGGAUAGUUGGGGGCAUUAGUAUUCAAUUGUCAGAGGUGAAAUUCUUUGAUUUAUUGAAGACUAACUACUGCGAAAGCAUUUGCCAAGGAUGUUUUCAUUAAUCAAGAACGAAAGUUAGGGGAUCGAAGACGAUCAGAUACCGUCGUAGUCUUAACCAUAAACUAUGCCGACUAGGAAUCAGACGAUGUUAAUUUUUUAAUGACUCGUUUGGCACCUUACG
rnacentral:misc_RNA from 1 species